CCGUGACAUGCACCGUUUGUAACGCGCGGACGAAUGAACGGAGAACGAAGAACGAAGCUGAGUAGCAGAGGAGCCAGAUACUAUGCUACGGAAACGCGAAAAACGGGAGAUAGAGAGUGAGACACCGCGCACGCGUCUACCGGCUCCUCGUCGUGGCGUUCGCCAACGACUGGAAGAGGAAAUACCGUCAGGGUUGCUUUAAACCACCGGGCGAACGAUAUAGAGAGGGCGCUAGAUGCUGAGUAUUGCCACUAUUUAAGAUUCACUAUCCACGAUCCACUGACCGUCAGUACUCUCAUGGCAACCUGUUAAUCACUGGAUAUUCACGUGCUGAGAAAAUCGGGGUACCAGACCUAGAAACUGCCAUUCGGAGCAAAACCAGAAAGAGAUGAAAGACGGAAGAGAUGUAAAGGUUCUACGCCGACUAACACGCUCACAAGGAUUACGGAAGUUUCUUCGCCGGCAUCAGCUGAGUAAAGGCUUAAAGUCUCUUCUCUCCUUGUACAAACUCACCCCGUGUCAACUCGGCGUAGGAAGUUAUUAUAUAAAGAAACUUAGGUAUGAAUUUUUUAGCAGCAACAAUAACAUUAUUUUUAAUUUUAUUGGCGAUUCCAAUCAUCGAUAAUGCGAUCGCGACCGGUAUUAAAUUCUGGGGCACGUGUGUAAGAUUUCGUAUGCCAACUGCAUGAUGGGAAACAUAAACCUCAUACGGAAUUAACCAUAAU